rnacentral:rRNA from 1 species
UACGUAGGGGGCAAGCGUUGUCCGGAUUUAUUGGGCGUAAAGAGCGUGUAGGCGGUCUGGUAGGUCCGUUGUGAAAACUCGAGGCUCAACCUCGAGACGCCGAUGGAAACCCUCAGACUAGAGUCCGGAAGAGGAGAGUGGAAUUCCUGGUGUAGCGGUGAAAUGCGCAGAUAUCAGGAAGAACACCCGUGGCGAAGGCGGCGCGCUAGUACGGUACUGACGCUGAGACGCGAAAGCGUGGGGAGCGAACAGG